rnacentral:rRNA from 1 species
CUACGGGAGGCUCCAGUCGAGAAUCUUCGGCAAUGGACGCAAGUCUGACCGAGCGAUGCCGCGUGCGGGAUGAAGGCCUUCGGGUCGUAAACCGCUGUCAGUUGGGAGGAAGGCUCCGUGAAGAGCGGAGUUUGACCUAUCUUCAGAGGAAGUCCGGGCUAAGUUCGUGCCAGCAGCCGCGGUAACACGAACCGGACGAACGUUAUUCGGAAUUAUUGGGCUUAAAGGGUGCGUAGGCGGUGCGGUAAGUGAGGUGUGAAAGCCCACGGCUCAACCGUGGAAUUGCGCUUCAUACUGCCGUGCUAGAGGGAGACAGAGGUAAGCGGAACUGAUGGUGGAGCGGUGAAAUGCGUUGAUAUCAUCAGGAACACCGGUGGCGAAAGCGGCUUACUGGGUCUCUUCUGACGCUGAGGCACGAAAGCUAGGGUAGCGAACGGGAUUAGAUACCCCCGUAGUC